ACUCAAAGGAAUUGACGGGGGCUCGUACAAGCGCUGGAGCAUGUGGUUUAAUUCGAUGCUGAGCGAGAAACCUUACCAAAGAGGAUUCUAGAAAAUUUUAUUUAAAAGAGUAAAAAGCUUAUGCUUUCUAGUUCGGUAAUGCACGGCUGUCGUCAGCUCGUAUUGUAAAACGUUAGGUUAAGUCCUGUAACGAGCGCAACCCUUAUUUUUAGUUGCUAAUCUAAAAAAACUUCUGUCGUUAAGCCGGAGGAAGCAGAGGAUGACGUCAAGCCAUCGUGUUCUUUACGCUUUGGGCUACACACGUGCUACAAUGGCUUGCACAAAGAGUAACUUUUUUGCGAAAAAAAAUUAAUCUCCAAAAACAAGUCUUAGUCCGGAUUGCAGACUGAAAUUCGUCUGUAUGAAGUAGGAACCGCUAGUAAUCACAGAUCAGCAUUACUGUGGUGAAUACGUUAACGAGCCUUGUACACACCGCCCGU
rnacentral:rRNA from 1 species